rnacentral:rRNA from 1 species
GACGAACGCUGGCGGCGUGCUUAACACAUGCAAGUCGAGCGGUAAGGCCCUUUCGGGGGUACACGAGCGGCGAACGGGUGAGUAACACGUGGGUGACCUGCCCUCAGCUCUGGGAUAAGCCUGGGAAACCGGGUCUAAUACUGGAUAUGACUCCAUGACGCAUGUUGUGGGGUGGAAAGCCUUGUGCGGCUGAGGAUGGGCCCGCGGCCUAUCAGCUUGUUGGUGGGGGUGAGGGCCUACCAAGGCGACGACGGGUAGCCGGCCUGAGAGGGCGACCGGCCACACUGGGACUGAGACACGGCCCAGACUCCUACGGGAGGCAGCAGGUGGGGAAUCUUGCGCAAUGGGCGAAAGCCUGACGCAGCGACGCCGCGUGAGGGAUGACGGCCUGGUGUAAC